CAGUAUCAUAAUCUUGUAUCAAGUGAAUUCUAAUUGAUAAUAAAAUCAGUUAGGGUUAAGAUAAUAAUGUAAAAUUGAUUAUACUUCGAUAUUUUACAAUUAUACUGAUAUACUAACGAACUAAGAUUAAACUGAUAAGUAAACGUGUAGCAUAUAGUUCGACUUAUAAAAAAAUACCGUUAAAUUUAGUGGUGGGAGUAAAGAUAUCAUACCGAAAAUGAGCAUGAUCAUGUUGGGAGCAGUAUUUAUUUACUAGAUUAAUUCAUGGGCAAUAGCAAGCCUGCUGGGUGGUAUCAAGAAUAUAUUCUCGUAGUUGUAUGUAUAAGGCCCUAUAUUUAAGGGUGUAGUUUAGUUGGUCAUUUUUGAAAAAUCGUUUUCGUUUUUUUUACAUUUUUUUAAUGUAUAUGUAUCCAAGCAUAUUGUGCCAAAUUUUUAUGGAGAUCCGAGCGGUGUAAGCCGUUGCUGAAAUAUCGUGAUUGAUCCGACAUUCCUUUAAAUUAUGGCGCUUCGUUAGAGUACACCUUUUACAUGAACAUACUUAAAAAAAUGAAUUAAAAAAUCUAUUUUUUUAUAA